AAACAAAAGAUCAAUCUGAAAAAGUGAGAUGACUCAGUGGGUAAAAGCACUGGGAAUCCUGGUGGCCUGAGUUCAGUCCCUGGAACCAACAAGUCCAUAGGAGUUGUUCUUUGACCUCCCCAUAAUGCCCACCUGCACAUCUACACAUCUACACAGUGAUGUUAGGAUGUCAGAUGUUUCAGAGCAUAGGCUAUAGUUGAACAGAUAGAACUGCAAUAGAACCAGGUUUUUAAGAAGUAACUCAUACUGUGUUAAUAAAUUAAUUGUAAUGACAUUAACGUUGUCCUUGAUGAAACUUCAAAGUUAUGGAUAUUUCUUUUGAUUUCAGUAUUUUUGUCAGUAUAUAUUUCCAAAUUCCAGACUUGUGGAAGUACUUGGACCAUAAAGCUAAGGCCAUCUGAUAGGGACAGACUCUUAAAGGGUUCUAGGGCAGUGGACUGAAGUCUCGGAGCUCCUGCUGCAACUGUUUAAUGUGUCACUAUUAAAGGCUUUGCUAUCAGUGGCUUGUGGUAGAUACAGUAAAAUUUUAGGUUGGAGUAGCAUUAUCUAUAAGAGUAUGGGUGUUGUUAGAGGCAUUUGUAACUUGGGGUCAUUUUUUCCUCUUCCACUUCACCCCAAAACUAACAAAAACUCAAAACUAUACGAGAGUAAUUACAGUCCUUUACAUCAGCAUUAAUAUAGCCAAGUCUUCUAUUUGUUGUCAAAGUGAAUAGUAGCAUAUUUUACAAUCUCUCAGAACAUCCCAUAUAGGAGUCAAGCCACCUGUUGUGUGUGCUUUUGAGUGUCGUGUUGUAUGUGAGCAAAUUUAGGAUUGUUUUCAGUGACUGGGACGAGACAACAUGACUUGACGUUGGCUCAUAAGUGGAUCAGCCGUGCUCUUGCCAAUAGGGUCCUUGUUAUCAUAGCAAGUACCUUACACUCACUAAACAUGAAGGAUCAUCAGAAGUGACUUAGUCCCCAAAGAAAGUUAAUCAGAAACCCAGGAAAUUGCACAUCUAAGUCACUCUAGAUAAGCCCAGAGGAAAUUUGGAUACACAUCUUAUUAUUAUGCAACUUUAAUAAAACCUUCUUAGUAGUUAUAGUAGGCCCAGGGCCUAAGUGGGCAGUUGUUCCUAGCAUGUUUGGGCAGUAAGGUAUUUGGCUCAGAUUUUCUUAAGUUUCUUCUGUUGUUGUAAAAUACCAUGACCAAAAGCAACUCUGCCUUUGAGAGAGUUUAUUUCAGUCCAUUGUGAAGAGAUCUCAAGCAGCAUCUUGGAGCAGGAAGUGAAGCAGAGAUCAUGGAGAAUGCCAUUUACUCACUUGCUUCCCAUGAUUUGCUCAGGGGUGGUACCACCCACAGUGAGCUGGGCUCUUCCAUAUCAGUCAUCAGUCAAAAAAAAAAAAAGUCCACAGUUUGCCUGUGGGCCAGUCUGAUGACAUUUUCUCAGUUGUUUCUCAGUUGGGUUUCUUCCUUCUUAGAGGACCCUGUCUUGUGUCAAGUUGUCAAAAAUCUAACCAACAUACUUUCUUUUUUUUAAUAUAUCAUUGUUAUUGGGUAGGGGACAGUGCAUGUGUAGAGUUCAGAGGAGUUGGCUUUUCUCCUUUCACUGAGUUCUGAGGACCAAACGUGGGUUACCGGCUUGUAAGCCCCUUUUCCUGCUGAGCCCUUUUAGUUGUUCUUGUCUCUGUUUCCUGCCCCUCAUGUCAAGUCUUCUGAAGCCCAUGUUGGCCGUAAGCUUGCUGUGCAGUUGAGGAUGGCCUGGAACUGUGAUCCUUCUCCUUCUCAGGUGCACAGCCCUCCCAGUUGAUGUGGGCUGCCAGCUGAGAUACUUUGCCAGCCCUGUCACAUGACCACUUUGAAAAACAUCACUUUCUCAUAUCUUUGGAGAGCAGUGUUCAGUCAGAAGCUCCCGAAAUGGUUGUUCACAGUCCCCAGCACCGCUGAAAUGGAGCAAGAUGACCUGUGCCUGUGACCUCAGCACUCUGCAAGUGGAGGCAGGAAAACCAGGAGUUCAGCACAGCCUCAGCGCCAUAAUGAACUUGGGCUAUGGGAUCCUGUCUUCAAAUAAGGAAAUAAACCACGUUUGGAAGUUGAGUUUUCUAUCAAAUCUAGGAUGAAGUUAUGUGUAGAAUGUGUAAGACAUUGCUUUACUUUUUAUCAACAAUAGAACAAAGUUUUUGUGAACAAGCAGAAAGUGUCCCUUGACUGUAUACUUGAAAAUACUCCAAAGUGUUGAGCCGUUGCCAGGAUGCAGAUACGCACUGAAGCCAGCACAGACGUGGUUGGGGAAAGUAGCACGUUUCAGAGAUGUUGGAGAACUGGCUAGGUGGCAGGCCAGCAUUUCUUACAGAAGAGCUCUGUGGUGAAGAGGGGUUUUCUGACUUGUUGGCAGCAAUCUGAACUUGGCAGUUAAAAGUCUGUGUUGUUAGGGAUAGCUGCCUGCCAUAUGUUGAAAGGAAAGAUAAGGUUUUGGAACUUAAAGCAUUUAAGACGAACAUUAGUCCCACUGGAGAGUCUUCAAGUUAAUGCCAGAUCUUCAAGUCCUUUGUGUAAAACGUUGGUGUCGGUGAUAUCUUGACCUCACCAGAACUGAGAGAUGGAAUGAGAUGUUUGCUCCUAACUACUUCCUAAUUGCUAUAAAAAAUGAAAUAAUGUGCCUCACUGCUACUCCUCUUGGCCAUGAGAAAGUCUGUGUCUGUUCUAGCUCCCUUUCUGUUUUUACCAUACAAACUCCCCCGAAGGAGGAACUGGUGGACAGCUGUGAGCAGCGCUGGCUGGAACCCAGAGCAGCAUGUCAUUGUCACCCAGCCAUUUCUGACUCCUUAACUCCAGUAACAGAAGCAAAGUCCAUUUCCCCUCUAGAAGAAGCUUGCUUAAAACCUGCAGUCAGUCCUCAACAGAAAUGGUGCCAGUGUUUUUCAAACCCAAAUUCUACCUUCUCAGAAACUUAUUUUCUCUGUAGACAGAAAAGAAGCAAGAAUUAUUUGUUAAUUUAUUAUACAGCGAGCAUGCCAAGGUUCAUACAUAGCCAUCUUAUCUGGGUUCAGAAUGAGUCCAGUGUUUUAUUAGUUGUGAGGACUUGGGAAAUUUCUAUUGUACUUGUUAAUGUGAGUUGUAUACAUUGUUAUACAUUCAGAGGAGUAUCUCAAAAUUGAAUCACCAUAUAAAACAAACACACACCUGUCCCCUACAGAAUGUCCAUGGUUCUGUAAGUUCCUCUACAUAUCCUUCCUCAUUUCCAUGUCUUCCUGAAGCUCCCUGCUGUCCUGACAUUGAUGGAAGCCCUUCCCCUGAGUUUCUCUAUCAUUGUGCCAUUUUAUAUAUUCUCAACAAUAUGUACUUAAUUUUGAACGACUAAACAGAAGCCUGGUCAUAUGGAGAAAGCAAUAGUCUCCCUGGAGACUCAUGUGAACAGUCUCUGGGCAGGUCAGGUUUCUGCUUUUCUAAAAGCCUAUAAAUGCCUCUUCCAGGGAAGUCAUUGGGAAGGUCAGAGGUUAAUCCUGAGACGCAUAGGGAUCAGUAUAUUUGGGGAACCUGUGACUAAAUAUAGGCUCACUAUGGCCUCCCUCCUACAUUUAAGAAAAUGCUUCACUACAUGGCCAAGGGUCGUAGGCUCUGCCAGCCAAAGCCCAAGGCUCAAACCAAGGCAGAGGCCUCAGCUCCAGCUCAGGCUCCCAAAGGUGCCCAGGCCCCUGUGAAGGCCCCAUAGAAAAGGUUUCUGUCUGCCAGACAGAUGGACUGGUGUGACACACCUACACACUAUAUGCAGAUGAUCAGGACCCCAUGCUGUUUUUACAAAUAAACUUGAGGCAGGAUC